CCUUGUGUUGAAAGAGAAAACCACUCUAGGUAAAUCGAAUUCCCUCGUGGGCGAGCGGUCGAUCUGCGCGCUCGAUCACGCCUUGUCUCUCUCGCUACCGUUCCCCUCUCCCAUGGCCGGGAUCCGGAGCCAGCGACCCCGACGACCAACGCCCUUCCCAGAGAUCAUUCCCUUUCCCCUCCGCCUCCGGGCAGGGGCCAUCCAGGACCAGGAGGAGGAGGAGCGGAGCCCUAGCCGCCUCCCGGCAACCCCUCCUCCCCGGCGACUCCCUUUCUGGGCCUCCCCUGCCAUCCUGGAUGCAAUUGAUCUGUAGUUAUCUUUAGAUGUUGCAGUUGAUCUGAAAAAGGCAUCUGACACUCCCACCAAACAGUAGUUAGCAAGAUGAAUGCUUAAUCUGGGAUGCAAUGCUUAUUCCAUCUAUUUAUGUUUUGUUUUACUGAUGCGAUGGAUGCCUGCUAUAGAUUUGACACUCAUAGGAAAUUUAUCACUAUUUUUUUUUUGCAACUGACACCAUAUUUAAUAGAUGUUUUUAUGCUGUAGGGGUCAAGAUGGUUGGCUCAUUCAUUACCAGAGCUUGAAUGUUUUUUUUCGAGAAAACAGAAAAAUCCUUUGCGUUUCAUUUCAUUCAAAAGAAGAAGGUUAACAAUGGUUUGGCGGUUACAGCCCUCAGAGGUGGGGGGGGGGGGGGGGGGGGGGCACACAAAAAGCGAGAAAAACAAAUCAGUGUACAUCCAAGGUGUUAGGCAGAAGGACACGCAGGCCUCGCGCUCCAGCCCUCUCCCAUAGACUUGUUCUGGGUCAGGCUCGUGGGCAGGCGCGCGGAGCCGCUUCAUCGACCUCCCUGUCAGUUUUGUCGUGGAGAUGGAUUUGUAUGUCCAGGAGUUUCUUAAACCACACCAUUGGUAUUUAUGGAAUCCAUCGCUGCAGUAGAGAAUGCCUAGUUCUGCUUACUGGUUCUGUGUGAUGAUGACAUUGAUAAAUAUGUAGACUUUGAAGGCCCACACAUCAUGUUAAUCUGCCGGCUGUUGUCGAAUCUGCCUACGAGUCUGUAAGGUCCCAAAACUAAUAGUGCCAUGCCAUUUUGAUUGUGUCGACCCUCGAUAUACCUCCAUAAGUUGGAUUUGAGAUUAACAAUCUUUGGGCCAAGACUGUCUAAAUUUUUUAAGCUACACAUGGUUGGAUUCCUUCUUUUUUCGCAAGUGAAAAGUACAGCAACACAAUCUCAAAAGAAAAAUCUGAAAGCACAUUAUGUGCAUAAUGCAUUAUGUACAUAAUGUAGGUCCAGCCAUAGUUGUACUGAUAACUAAAGGCACAAGUAAGUCCCAAAUUGCUGCUAACUCAUUUGAUUUCCUUUUACUUGUGGCAUUUGAAUUUUAGCCUUGAAACAGAAAGUGACCAUUUGGUAGCUCUUCCGUGCGUUUUAGGGUGUUUUGCUACAAUUCAGCUUGCUUGGUAGUGGCAGACUGCUCACUUAAUAAUGCACAGGAAACUUAUUUUUUCUAUUAUCCAUAUGAACGAAUAAUAAGUAAAUAGCUAGAUGUUGACACAGAUUCAAGGGUUUAUCAAUACACAAAUGUGCUCCAUUGCUUUUACAGGUUGCUAUUAAUUAGUGCAGUUUUGGUAAACUGGUAUGUAGAUCUAAUAUUGAGGUAUGGCUAUCUGAUAGAAAGAAUCAAAAGUAUCUCAGUCAUGUGAGGUUUUGCAUCGGGAAUAUUCCUAUAUAGAUAACAUGACAUCUGAAUGAAUAAUAAGUAAAUAGCUAGACUUUGAAGCAAGGUAGUCAAAAUCUAUAAUCUAGAUGCCGCCAUCUUGGAGCAGAGCAACGGGUCAGGAAGCAGAUAGUGAGGCAGACAAUUAUGCCUGAACACUGCCCUACCAACUUCUUGCUGCCUUGUAGCCUGCAGGUAACUCACUCGGUCUUGUGCCCUGAUCCCUUUGGGCAAGGGCCGGAGCCUCAGGCCUGGGUGCCCUCCCUCCACAGACCUGGGAUGUCCCCUGAAACCUUUUUUGUUUUCCUGUAAUUCGCCUCCUAGGAUGAUUGUGCCAAACUCCUGCUUUCCAAUGAAAUGAAACGCAAAAGUCUUUUGCGUUUUCUCAAAAAAAAUCAUGUCAGCCUAAGCCAUUUGUUAGCUUGCACACCAAGCACGGAUCAGAGUGGUAGAUUUGAAGUGAAGGGUGUGGUCAACAGUUGUCUCAGUUGUCACCAGCGGCAUACCUCGUUGUGUGCAGAUCAAUAUCUUCCAGCCACGGUGCAUCUAGGUAAUUUCUUCUACUAAUAACAUGGUUCAUCACCAUUUAUCUAUUUGAUGCAAGCCUGAUUUGUUGAUCCUCUGAUGAAGAGAAAACCUGAACUAUCAUAAUUUACUCUAGAGAACUUACAUGCACUGAGAAAGUGGUUUUGACAUGAACUAAACGGCAGUGAUUUGUUUGAACUGACAAUAUUAAGGCAAAAUUCAGUACAUGGAUAACUAAAUUUUAUUUGAAAGUAUUUUCGCACUCUGAUUUCUUUUGUUCAAUGAUAUGCAGUCGUAGGUUCCCGAUUUGCUCUGAAAACCAUCUUUAAUUUUUUUUUCCAAGUUUUCUAUACGGUUUGCAGCGUGCUUGGUCUGCAGUGUGCUCCCUAUGAUUUGUGCUGGUAUGCACACGCAAUCUACUUCUAUGAGCUGUCUGGUCUUUUGAUCCUUCUUAUUUUUAUCUUUUCGGGCUUCUACCUUUCUGAUUGAUGGCAUCAUUCGUUGUUUCUUCAUCGCAUGUAGCUCAGACAAUGCAAUAUAUGCUUUUUGUGGUUCGGUUGGAUUGAUGUCUCAGCUUUUAUAUGACUAUGUAUAUAUAGUUGAGCUGCGGGUACUUAUCUGGUUUGGUUAAUUUGUGUAGAGUUGGAUGCUAUGUCUUAUAUAUUUGUAUGUCCCUGUCUAUUUAUUUGAUGCCCCUGUCUAUUUAUUUGAUGUCCCAUGCAUUUCCAAACUUUGUAUAUAUGACUAUCUACCGUCCAAUUGCCCAAAACUAUUAGUCUGCAUAACAAUUUUACUCUUAGUGCCACUUAUAACUACAAAGCCAUCAUUUUACCUAAAUUACUCUACUCCGAGCAAGCUUGAAAUCGAGCUUUCAGAGAUGGUAUGCCUAUAUUAUAUAAGAAAGUACCUUUAUAGUGGAAUGAGGUUUCUUGCAAGAUAAGAACAUGCUACUAUACAGGGUGCCAGACACCUAUAAGAUUUAGAUGUCGCUUCUUCCAUAGGAUUUCUUCAAAGAUAAUAACAUGAUAAUAACAUUGUAGAACAUGCUUCUCUUUAGAGGAGGAAGGGGAGAAAAUACAAGGCCAGUGUUUUGUGAUAGAUUGAUCUGCCAUUGCUGCUUAGUCAAUGUAAAUUUUGAAUGAGGUGGAAGCUAUUGUGAAGCUAACAUGGUACGACUAGGAGAAACCUUCAUCUAGCUUUGGUUAUUUCUAGAACUCUGAUCUCGAUACUAACCAUACCAUUCCAAUACUUAUAUAUCUAUUAUUUAGUUACGUUUCUGAAACUAAAUGUUGAACUAACAUUGGUCUUGAAAUUGCGCAUAUGUCCGUGGAAGGUUGCUAAUUAUACUUUUCAUGUGUAUCGUGCUAUGCUACUCACUUUUACUUGUGGCCCCUCCCAUUUCAUUGCCCACAGGGUAAUGACAAUUCAUGCAACUUGUGUCUCUGUACUCAACAGUGUAUCUUAUAGAUGGUUCCUAUCACAAUGUUGAUCUGGUUAUGCCCUGCCACUGAUGGUAGUUUCAAGCAGUUGGUUACAGAAUAGAAGGGCAAGAAGGCCAAAAUGCCACCAUAUACGGUUGCCAACAGAUAGCACCAUGUAAGCGCUGUGCUGGUUCUAGAAAGACUUAGUCAGAGUGCAGCAGAUUGGAUCCGGACUCAAGUGCCUUGGUGUCGGCUCCUUGGGCCUCGACUACAGCACCGUGGCUGGGUACAUUGGAAACCUGUUUGCCUCGCCGGCGUUCACCAUCGUCAACAACUCAACAUCAUGUUCAGGUUCACGUCAACAACUACUUGGCCAUGCCGUACCUCUACUGCUCUGAAAGCUGAAUACUAGAUUUUUUUUCUCGUUUUGAUGUGUAUAAAAGAACUUGAGAAAACUCUGUUAUCAGUUUUUGAAUGAAACAUUGUGAGAAAGGUGUAUGUUUUCAGUUGA